rnacentral:rRNA from 1 species
UCGAACGAUGAACACUUCGGUGGGGAUUAGUGGCGAACGGGUGAGUAACACGUGGGCAAUCUGCCCUUCACUCUGGGACAAGCCCUGGAAACGGGGUCUAAUACCGGAUACCACUCUCACAGGCAUCUGUGGGGGUUGAAAGCUCCGGCGGUGAAGGAUGAGCCCGCGGCCUAUCAGCUUGUUGGUGAGGUAACGGCUCACCAAGGCGACGACGGGUAGCCGGCCUGAGAGGGCGACCGGCCACACUGGGACUGAGACACGGCCCAGACUCCUACGGGAGGCAGCAGUGGGGAAUAUUGCACAAUGGGCGAAAGCCUGAUGCAGCGACGCCGCGUGAGGGAUGACGGCCUUCGGGUUGUAAACCUCUUUCAGCAGGGAAGAAGCGAAAGUGACGGUACCUGCAGAAGAAGCGCCGGCUAACUACGUGCCAGCAGCCGCGGUAAUACGUAGGGCGCAAGCGUUGUCCGGAAUUAUUGGGCGUAAAGAGCUCGUAGGCGGCUUGUCACGUCGGGUGUGAAAGCCCGGGGCUUAACCCCGGGUCUGCAUUCGAUACGGGCUAGCUAGAGUGUGGUAGGGGAGAUCGGAAUUCCUGGUGUAGCGGUGAAAUGCGCAGAUAUCAGGAGGAACACCGGUGGCGAAGGCGGAUCUCUGGGCCAUUACUGACGCUGAGGAGCGAAAGCGUGGGGAGCGAACAGGAUU